ACCUUGGUAGUGUAGUGGUAGCAAGCGUUCCCCGUAUUAUGAAACGCUGGUUCGACUCCGGCCCCAGGUC